UCCUACGGGAGGCAGCAGUGGGGAAUUAUGCACAAUGGGCGAAAGCCUGAUGCUGCAAUACUGCGUGAAGGAUGAAGGUUUUCGGAUCGUAAACUUCUUUUAUCUGGGAAUAAUCUUGAAGGUACCAGAUGAAUAAGCACCGGCUAACUACGUGCCAGCAGCCGCGGUAAUACGUAGGGUGCAAACAUUACCCGGAUUUAUUGGGCGUAAAGAGUUCGUAGGCGGUUUUGUAAGUUGGAUAUUAAAGACCCAGGCUCAACCUGGGGAAAGUAUUCAAAACUGCAUAACUAGAGGUGUGCAGGGGAAGAUGGAACUUGUGGUGUAGCAGUGAAAUGCGUAGAUAUCACAAGGAACGCCAAUGGUGAAGACAGUCUUCUGGGCACAACCUGACGCUGAGGAACGAAAGCGUGGGGAGCGAACGGGAUUAGAUACCCUUGUAGUCC
rnacentral:rRNA from 1 species